AUGAACGCUAGCUACAGGCUUAACACAUGCAAGUCGAGGGGCAUCAGGGUGUAGCAAUACACCGCUGGCGACCGGCGCACGGGUGAGUAACACGUAUCCAACCUGCCCUUUACUCGGGGAUAGCCUUUCGAAAGAAAGAUUAAUACCCGAUGGCAUAACAUGACCUCCUGGUUUUGUUAUUAAAGAAUUUCGGUAGAGGAUGGGGAUGCGUUCCAUUAGGCAGUUGGCGGGGUAACGGCCCACCAAACCUUCGAUGGAUAGGGGUUCUGAGAGGAAGGUCCCCCACAUUGGAACUGAGACACGGUCCAAACUCCUACGGGAGGCAGCAGUGAGGAAUAUUGGUCAAUGGGCGAGAGCCUGAACCAGCCAAGUAGCGUGAAGGAUGACCGCCCUAUGGGUUGUAAACUUCUUUUAUAUGGGAAUAAAGGGUGCCACGUGUGGCAUUUUGUAUGUACCAUAUGAAUAAGGAUCGGCUAACUCCGUGCCAGCAGCCGCGGUAAUACGGAGGAUCCGAGCGUUAUCCGGAUUUAUUGGGUUUAAAGGGAGCGUAGGUGGACAUGUAAGUCAGUUGUGAAAGUUUGCGGCUCAACCGUAAAAUUGCAGUUGAUACUGCGUGUCUUGAGUACAGUAGAGGUGGGCGGAAUUCGUGGUGUAGCGGUGAAAUGCUUAGAUAUCACGAAGAACUCCGAUUGCGAAGGCAGCUCACUGGACUGCAACUGACACUGAUGCUCGAAAGUGUGGGUAUCAAACAGGAUUAGAUACCCUGGUAGUCCACACAGUAAACGAUGAAUACUCGCUGUUUGCGAUAUACAGUAAGCGGCCAAGCGAAAGCAUUAAGUAUUCCACCUGGGGAGUACGCCGGCAACGGUGAAACUCAAAGGAAUUGACGGGGGCCCGCACAAGCGGAGGAACAUGUGGUUUAAUUCGAUGAUACGCGAGGAACCUUACCCGGGCUUAAAUUGCAAAUGAAUAUGCCGGAAACGGCAUAGCCGCAAGGCAUUUGUGAAGGUGCUGCAUGGUUGUCGUCAGCUCGUGUCGUGAGAUGUUGGGUUAAGUCCCGCAACGAGCGCAACCCUUAUCCUUUGUUGCCAGCGGUCCGGCCGGGAACUCAAAUGAGACUGCCAGUGAUAAACUGGAGGAAGGUGGGGAUGACGUCAAAUCAGCACGGCCCUUACGUCCGGGGCUACACACGUGUUACAAUGGGGGGUACAGAAGGCCGCUACACAGCGAUGUGAUGCCAAUCCCUAAAGCCCCUCUCAGUUCGGAUCGAAGUCUGCAACCCGACUUCGUGAAGCUGGAUUCGCUAGUAAUCGCGCAUCAGCCACGGCGCGGUGAAUACGUUCCCGGGCCUUGUACACACCGCCCGUCAAGCCAUGGGAGCCGGGGGUACCUGAAGUACGUAACCGCAAGGAGCGUCCUAGGGUAAAACUGGUGACUGGGGCU
rnacentral:rRNA from 1 species